GACGAACCGAGCGAACGUUGUUUGGAAUCACUGGGCUUAAAGGGCGCGUAGGCGGGCUGUCAAGUCUGGGGUGAAAUCCCGCGGCUCAACCGCGGAACGGCCUCGGAUACUGUCGGCCUCGAGGGGGGUAGGGGCAUCUGGAACUGUCGGUGGAGCGGUGAAAUGCGUUGAUAUCGACAGGAACUCCGGUGGCGAAGGCGAGGUGCUGGACCCCUUCUGACGCUGAGGCGCGAAAGCCAGGGGAGCGAACGGG
rnacentral:rRNA from 1 species